UAGCUACAGGCUUAACACAUGCAAGUCGAGGGGAAACGACAUUGAAAGCUUGCUUUCGAUGGGCGUCGACCGGCGCACGGGUGAGUAACGCGUAUCCAACCUGCCCAUCACUUGGGGAUAACCUUGCGAAAGUAAGACUAAUACCCAAUGACGUCUCUAGAAGACAUCUGAAAGAGAUUAAAGAUUUAUCGGUGAUGGAUGGGGAUGCGUCUGAUUAGCUUGUUGGCGGGGUAACGGCCCACCAAGGCGACGAUCAGUAGGGGUUCUGAGAGGAAGGUCCCCCACAUUGGAACUGAGACACGGUCCAAACUCCUACGGGAGGCAGCAGUGAGGAAUAUUGGUCAAUGGGCGAGAGCCUGAACCAGCCAAGUAGCGUGCAGGAUGACGGCCCUAUGGGUUGUAAACUGCUUUUAUAAGGGAAUAAAGUGAGUCUCGUGAGACUUUUUGCAUGUACCUUAUGAAUAAGGACCGGCUAAUUCCGUGCCAGCAGCCGCGGUAAUACGGAAGGUCCGGGCGUUAUCCGGAUUUAUUGGGUUUAAAGGGAGCGUAGGCCGGAGAUUAAGCGUGUUGUGAAAUGUAGACGCUCAACGUCUGCACUGCAGCGCGAACUGGUUUCCUUGAGUACGCACAAAGUGGGCGGAAUUCGUGGUGUAGCGGUGAAAUGCUUAGAUAUCACGAAGAACUCCGAUUGCGAAGGCAGCUCACUGGAGCGCAACUGACGCUGAAGCUCGAAAGUGCGGGUAUCGAACAGGAUUAGAUACCCUGGUAGUCCGCACGGUAAACGAUGGAUGCCCGCUGUUGGUCUGAAUAGGUCAGCGGCCAAGCGAAAGCAUUAAGCAUCCCACCUGGGGAGUACGCCGGCAACGGUGCAACUCAAAGGAAUUGACGGA
rnacentral:rRNA from 1 species